AGGCCGAUGGUAUAAUCGGUAACACGUCGGACUCUGACUCCGAAGUUCAAGGUUCAAGUCCUUGCCGGCCUGCCA
rnacentral:tRNA from 1 species